rnacentral:rRNA from 1 species
UACGUAGGGACCAAGCGUUGUUCGGAUUUACUGGGCGUAGAGGGCGCGUAGGCGGCUUAACAAGUCACUUGUGAAAUCUCCGGGCUUAACUCGGAACGGCCAAGUGAAACUGUCAAGCUAGAGUGCAGAAGGGGCAAUCGGAAUUCUUGGUGUAGCGGUGAAAUGCGUAGAUAUCAAGAGGAACACCUGAGGUGAAGACGGGUUGCUGGGCUGACACUGACGCUGAGGCGCGAAAGCCAGGGGAGCAAACGGG